UACGGAGGGGGCUAGCGUUGUUCGGAAUUACUGGGCGUAAAGCGCACGUAGGCGGCUUUGUAAGUUAGAGGUGAAAGCCCGGGGCUCAACUCCGGAAUUGCCUUUAAGACUGCAUCGCUAGAAUUGUGGAGAGGUAAGUGGAAUUCCGAGUGUAGAGGUGAAAUUCGUAGAUAUUCGGAAGAACACCAGUGGCGAAGGCGACUUACUGGACACAUAUUGACGCUGAGACGCGAAAGCGUGGGGAGCAAACAGG
rnacentral:rRNA from 1 species